GAGGGUGUAGUUCAAGUGGUAGAAUGCAUGCUUAGCAUGCACGAGGUCCUGGGUUCAGUCCCCAGCAUCUCCU
rnacentral:tRNA from 1 species